rnacentral:lncRNA from 1 species
CAGCAGCAAAAGUCCCAAUUUCUGCACUCAAACUUGAUGAAUGUGGAUUGGUGUGAGCUCAUUUGUGGUUACAACAUUGUUGUAGACGGCUUGACAUAAUUGGUAGCACUUUAGGAAGAGGAUUGGUGAAGGAAAAGAUCACUUGGAAGGAUGCAAUUCGGCACAGCAGUGCACUCGUAAGCUGCAAAUUCUGGUGUGGAAUUUCCAUGUGACAGCAGCUUCCUUACUAUGCAGCUGUAAGCUUUGUGAGAAUCCAAUUGCAGAUUCAAUUUUCUUGAGAGAAGCCAAAGCUGCACACCAAAUUUUUUUUACCAUUUCUGAGUACUGAAACAGCAGAACUGCACAAACACCCUUGCAGUUGAGAGAUUUGAGGCUGCCUACAGUGCAGUGUUCAAUUAUUCUGAGAAUCCAAAGUUGCAGUGCCACACUUUUUCCCCUUUCUUUGUGCACAGUUGUCUGCUAAUCUUGUUACUAAAUCUAAAUCAUUAAUUGAAAUCACAAGUAUAAAUGAAUUUAGAUCAAAAGUUGAACUGAUUUUGUCAAAUAUAUUUGCUGAUUUCCACUUUGCUUGGAGUAUUUGUUGUUUGGCAUGUUACAGCUAUGCAGAUGUAAUUUGGAAAGUAUUAUAGCAUUGGUUGCAGCAGUGGAAAUUGUGUAGACUUUCAACACGGCACAAGAGAAAAACAGCCGCAACAGCAGAUCUUCCAAUCAAGUUCAUUCUGCAACAUAUGCAUUUGGCAGCAAAACCACAAACCCCUGUGCAGCAGGGGAAAAUUGGAUCCAUCCUCCACAUCCAUUGCAGUAAAGCCGAGAGAAAGAAUUGGUGCAGUUGAGUUUUUUAAGCAGCAGCAAGGCACCAAAGCUGAGAACGGAAAGUGAAACCACAAGCUAGGAGACUCCAAAAGUAGCCAGCACAUGAAUUUGAACAAGAACCAGAAUGUGGCAGCAGCUGUUCUACUUUUCUUUGUAAUUGUAGUGUUCAUUUUUGAAUUGUAAUAGGUUUUCUGUGUUAGAUUUCUUUAAAGUGUAAAAGGCCAUUCCAAGUCCAAGUGUUUUUGGAAGAGUCCUUGGUGCUCCUUCAACUCUUGGCAAUUGUUUGCUUUACAUUUAGCUUAGACUGGUGAGUGUGUCUUGCUAGCCAAAGCUACAAGCCUCACCUUAGGAGUAGAAUUUUAUCUUACUUUUUUGUAUGUGAUUUUGUAUGUCGCUUAGGGACGUAGGAUUUAUUAGAGUCCG